GGCUCAUCACAUCCUGGGGCUGAAGUAGGUCCCAAGGGUAUGGCUGUUCGCCAUUAAAGUGGUACGCGAGCUGGGUUUAGAACGUCGUGAGACAGUUCGGUCCCUAUCUGCCGUGGGCGCUGGAGAACUGAGGGGGGCUGCUCCUAGUACGAGAGGACCGGAGUGGACGCAUCACUGGUGUUCGGGUUGUCAUGCCAAUGGCACUGCCCGGUAGCUAAAUGCGGAAGAGAUAAGUGCUGAAAGCAUCUAAGCACGAAACUUGCCCCGAGAUGAGUUCUCCCUGACUCCUUGAGAGUCCUGAAGGAACGUUGAAGACGACGACGUUGAUAGGCCGGGUGUGUAAGCGCAGCGAUGCGUUGAGCUAACCGGUACUAAUGAACCGUGAGGCUUAACCUUACAACGCCGAAG
rnacentral:rRNA from 1 species